GACUGUGACACUAAUAACAGCAGCAGGGAGCACACUACCCAUUGGGAAGGAGGGUCCUUUUGUUCACAUAUCAAGUAUAAUUGCUGAGAUUAUGUCUCGCAUCAUUGGAAAAUAUGUUAAGAUCUUUAAUCAUAUUUUUGCUAAUGAAGCCCAUACUAAUGAGCUGUUAGCUGCUGCCUGUGCUGUUGGUGUCUCCAGUAAUUUUGCUGCUCCCAUUGGAGGU